AAACAAAGAUUCAAGAGGAAAUUAGAAUAAUAAUCAGCAUAAUUGUAUAUUCACAAGUUUCCACUUUAAAACAUUCUCAUGCAGCCUCUCUAAAAGUCAUUUGCAGGAAGUUCAGCAAAUGUUAGCAUUUAGCUUCUCCUGGUGUGUAAAAAUAGUGAAAGAGGAAAAAAAAGAGGACAGGUUGUCAUAGGAAAUCUGACACCUUUAAUUCAGUAGAAAAUGUGAUGGUGUGUUCAGGGGUAUCACUGGAAAAACAAAAGCUAAGUCAGUCUGCUCCAAAAUGGGUCCGAAUACUAUAAAACACAUAUUACAUUAUUUUUAGUCUGUUCUGUAUUUUUUGUGCAUUUGCUUUAACUUUUAGAGAACAAAGAUGGACAUUGUGACCCCUCCCUAAUGUUUUUCCACAAACUCCUAACUCCUGAGAUGUUCUCUUGUCUUUUUGGUGUUCCCUCAUACAGGUGAUUCCGAUGUCUGAUUCCCAGCUGCCAACAGGGGAACGACACCCUUGAAGAUGAAGAAAACAGACUCUACUCUCUGGGGGACCACCAGGUUGUCUACAAUCCUAAACAUUUUGUAUGACCUACAGGCCCCAUGCAGCUUUGCCCAUUUGUCAUCUGCAGACAGCCAGCCUGUAUUCACCCUUUAGAUGUGACUAAGACAUGAACAGUAGCAGCAUUAGUGUGUGAAUGGUUGGAUGGGAUUGUGACCAUGAAGCUCUUUGGAAUUAAAAACAGUAAAAAGGUGCAAAACAAGAGCAUGCCAUUCACCAUUUGUUUUAUACUAAUAAAAAUAUUAUUUCUUUGAAAAAGUUUUAAAGUUUACAUACCUCUUCUCUGCAGAUUUAUUACAGGAAUAGUGAUGAUGUUCCCCAGAUGAUGCCGAUGAUCCAGCAGAUCCGAUUUGAACUCCAUCUUCACAUCAGUCUCUUGAUUCAGGAGCAGCUGCUCUCCCUCUUGAUUGAUGCACACUUCUUCUGGUUCCUCUUUGAUCUGUGGAGGUUCUGGUUCUGCUUGGUCUAGACUGGAGUUCAUCUCCUGGUUACAGAGCUGCCAUUUGUUCUGAACUCCUACCAGGAAAAAAAAAGAAACACACAAAACAUUAAAGCUAUCAUGUUUAAAAAAAAAAAAAA